GGAGAAGGGCUGGCACAGCUGGCCUGGCUCGGUAAUCUGUGGGACUUGGUGUGGGUGCAGUGUAGUUUUUUAAUUUCUUGGUUAAAGUUUAUUGUAAUUUUGGUUGUGCACUUCCACAGCCUAACGAUUCUGCUAAAUGAUCAUUGGAUUAACCCACCAGGUGCAAUCAAUUCUUCAUCGGGCAGCAUUGUCAGGAGUUGUGCAGAGCCACAGGGUCCCCUGCACCUCCUUUUCUCCAGGCUGAGCCCCUUCCCAGCUCCUCAUCCCUUCCUGGGGCUCCAUUCCCUUCCCAGCUCUGUUCCCCUCCUGGGGCUCCAUUCCCUUCCCAGCUCCUCAUCCCCUCCUGGGGCUCCAUUCCCUUCCCAGCUCCUCAUCCCCUCCUGGGGCUCCAUUCCCUUCCCAGCUCCCUCAUCCCCUCCUGGGGCUCCAUUCCCUUCCCAGCUCCUCAUCCCCUCCUGGGGCUCCAUUCCCUUCCCAGCUCUGUUCCCCUCCUGGGGCUCCAUUCCCUUCCCAGUUCCCCCAACCCCUCCUGGGGCUCCAUUCCCUUCCCAGCUCCUCAUCCCCUCCUGGGGCUCCAUUCCCUUCCCAGCUCCCUCAUCCCCUCCUGGGGCUCCAUUCCCUUCCCAGCUCCUCAUCCCCUCCUGGGGCUCCAUUCCCUUCCCAACUCCCUCAUCCCUCCUGGGGCUCCAUUCCCUUCCCAGCUCCUCAUCCCCUCCUGGGGCUCCGUUCCCUUCCCAGCUCCUCAUCCCCUCCUGGGGCUCCAUUCCCUUCCCAGCUCCCUCAUCCCUCCUGGGGCUCCAUUCCCUUCCCAGCUCCUCAUCCCCUCCUGGGGCUCCAUUCCCUUCCCAGCUCUGUUCCCCUCCUGGGGCUCCAUUCCCUUCCCAGCUCUGUUCCCCUCCUGGGGCUCCAUUCCCUUCCCAGCUCCUCAUCCCCUCCUGGUGCUCCAUUCCCAGCUCCUCAUCCCCUCCUGGGGCUCCAUUCCCUUCCCAGCUCUGUUCCCCUCCCGGGGCUCCAUUCCCUUCCCAGCUCCAUUCCCUGGCCGCAUUCCAGCCCCUCAGGCCCUGCCUGAGCUGCGGGGCCGGAGCUGGGCACAGCCCUGGAGAUGGAAGCUCAGCAGUGCCAGCACAGGGCACAGCCACUGCCCCGUGCCUGGGACAGCCCAGGGGUCCUGAGCCCCCCUGGCCACCUGGAAUCCUGUCCAGAGCCGCUGCUGAGCUCUCCUGGCAGUGUUCCCUGCCUGCUCCAGCUGUGUUUCCCAGGGGAUGCUGCACACCAGUGCCAGCGGGAGGGUCUCCUUCCCCCGUCUCUGCCCCAUCCCCGAGGUUUUGGCACGGCCACGCAGCUCCCGCUGGAGCUCACAGCACUGCUCACCCCAGCAGGGCAGUCACAGCGGGUGUGACAUCCCUGGGAACGACAGCCGGGCCUGGGAAGGGACCCCGUUAG
rnacentral:lncRNA from 1 species